rfam:Schistosoma curassoni strain Dakar, Senegal genome assembly, scaffold: SCTD_scaffold0000002
CUUCAGCUGACGAGUGCCAAAUAAGACGAAACGCACGUCAAACUGGAU